GAUUACACCCUGAUGAAGACAGAUUGGCUGUCGAAACGUUGGAUAUGACAUUUUUGCAACUGAGGUCCUUAAGUGUUUCGGCUCUCCUUUAUUUUCAAUCAUUUGAAUUUACCACAGGUGGAAUCCAAUCAAGUUGUAGAAACAUCUCAAGGAUGCUCAGUGGAAACAGGAUGCAGCUGAGCUCAAUUUCGAGUCUCAUAGAAAAGGGUCUGAAUACUGAUGUAAAUAAGCAGCGGGUGCUUCCUGGGUCCCUGAGGGACAUCGAUAGGAGAGUCCUGGGACCUAAUCUGAAUUCCAUGACCGAGGAAUAGUCCUUGCUGAAGUGACAUAGUGGGGGUGGAUUGUGCAAUAAGUGAAAGAGAGCGCAAAAGAGCGAUAGGAAAAAAAGAAAGAGAGAGAUGAAGGUAGAGAGAAAGAGAGCGUUACAAGGAGGUCAUGCAAUUACAACCUCCCACAGGCAUUAUCCCAUUCUUAACCGUUUCCCCUCAGCUUGCCUCUCAGCCCAGGGUGUGUUAGGUUAGCAGAAGUGCUAUCAGACUCAGACUAGUGGGUGUUAGAAGGUAUUAAGGAAGUGUUGUCUGAGUCUAUGCUGUCUGAGUCGACGUGAUGAAUGUACUCGCUUGACCUUGACAUUCAUAACCCGCCACAAAACACCUCUUAAACAUUGUACUCGUUAACUGGACUUUGGAAUUGAGUGGACAUAAACUUGUCUGUGAUGUUUCCA